rnacentral:rRNA from 1 species
UGAGUACGAGACGCUAAGGCGUCGAAGUAGUGGAUGUCAUACUUCCAAGAGAAGCUUGCACUGUCAUAAAUAAAAAGUGCCUGUACCAUAACCGACACAGGUGGGUAAGUAGAGUAUACUAAGGGGCGCGAGAUAACUCUCUCUAAGGAACUCGGCAAAAUAACUCCGUAACUUCGGGAGAAGGAGUGCCUUAUUCUUAAGGUUGCAAUAACAAGAUCCAAGCAACUGUUUAUCAAAAACACAGGUCUCCGCUAAGUCGUAAGACGAUGUAUGGGGGCUGACGCCUGCCCAGCGCCAGAAGGUUAAAGAAGUCGGUUAGCAAUAGCAAAGCUGGUAACUGAAGCCCUGGUGAACGGCGGCCGUAACAAUAACGGUCCUAAGGUGGCGAAAUUCCUUGUCGGGUAAGUUCCGACCCGCACGAAAGGCGUAAUGAUUUGGAUGCUGUCUCGGAGAGGGGCUCGGUGAAAUAGACUUGUCUGUGAAGAUGGGGACUACCUGCACCAGGACAGAAAGACCCUAUGAAGCUUUACUGUAACUUGAAAUUGAAAUUGGACUUUAUUCGCGCAGUAUAGGUGGGAGGCGUUGAUUAUAAUCUUGUGGGAUUAUUGGAGCCAUCAGUGAGAUACCACUCUUGUAAUGUUAGAUUUCUAACUUUGAAUCAUUAUCUGGUCAAAGGACAGUUUCAGGCGGGCAGUUUGACUGGGGCGGUCGCCUCCUAAACGGUAACGGAGGCGUACAAAGGUUUCCUCUGAACGGUUAGAAAUCGUAUCUAGAGUGUAAAGGCAUAAGGAAGCUUGACUGUGAGACCUACAAGUCGAGCAGGGACGAAAGUCGGUCUUAGUGAUCUGACGGUACUGAGUGGAAAGGCCGUCACUCAACGGAUAAAAGUUACUCUAAGGAUAACAGGCUGAUCUCCCCCAAGAGUUCACAUCGACGGGGAGGUUUGGCACCUCGAUGUCGGCUCAUCGCAUCCUGGGGCGGUAGUACGUCCCAAGGGUUGGGCUGUUCGCCCAUGAAAGCGGUACGCGAGCUGGGUUCAGAACGUCGUGAGACAGUUCGGUCCAUAUCCGGUGUAGGCGCUAGAAUAUUGAGAGGAGCCUUCUUUAGUACGAGAGGACCGAGAAGGACAUACCUCUGGUGUACCAGUUAUCGUGCCAACGGUAAACGCUGGGUAGCUAUGUAUGGAGUGGAUAACCGCUGAAAGCAUCUAAGUGGGAAGCCCACCUCAAGAUAAGUAUUCC